CCGCCGGGCGGUCCCGCAGAGCGCCCACGUGGCCCCGAUGCGAACGGCCGCCCCCAGGGUCCUUCCCUGCCCUGGAAUUCUGGGAACCUUCCCCCCGAGCAUCCACAUUUCAUGCUGUUUUAUGACCUCUUCACCUAUGCAGCUUCAGCCAGCACUCAAAAGACAAAGAAUCCCACCACUCUCAACCCAGGAGCCUAGUGGGAGCAGCAAUAUUGCUUGAUUUCCAUACACCACUUUUUGAUAGCUAGUGAGCCUUUAGGAAAUGCAGAUUAACUUCAACAGAGCCAUGUUUCCUCUCCACACAGCUUGGUGACCACCCCAUCUCAAUACAACUGUCAAAUUAAUCUUGCAAAAAUUUGAAGAACCUGAGAACUGACUGACAUAACACUUGAAACUCUCAGGGGCAAGGGCAGGAUGACACGUGCCUCCUCCAAGCAGCAGCAUUCCUGUGCUGAGGACAAAGCUACUCCACCUUGAGCUUUGUUUUUAUGUUCAUGGCUGCCAGCUCCGCCACAAAGUAACGGAAGACAUGGGGCACAGGGACAACCUCAAUCGUGUCCACCUCGCUGCAGACUGAGCAGGAGUACCUCCUGCUGCUUGCCACAGAGGAGUGGGGCAGUUUCUCCAGCACAGGAGAUGUCAUGCUGCCACAGCUUGUGCACACGUAGGCAAUGGAGCCAUCGGAGCAGUUGAACAGGCGGUCUUGCAGCAGGAAAGAUGUGCCAUGAGCCAGCAGAGCAUCCCGCUCCAUCUCACCAAAGCGAAUCCCACCUUCCACGUUCCUCCCUUUGACAGGCUGGUUGGUGACAGCAUCUCGGGGCCCCGUUGUUCUCACCUGGAACUUGUCCGAGACCAUGUGGCGCAGGCGCUGAUAGUACACCACUCCCACAAAGAUCUCUGCCUCCAGCUCCAGGCCGCUGAUGCCGCUGUACAUCUUUUCUGUCCCAAAGAAGUUAUAACCUGCGCUCACUAAAGUCUCACCGAAGUAUUUCAAAGCAGACUUCUUCUCUGUGAAGGUGAAGGGAGUGGCAUCAUAGGAGACACCAUGCAGUGCUGCUGACUUCCCCGCCAUGCUCUCAAUCAACAUUCCAAUGGUCAUACGGGAGGGAAAGCCAUGAGGGUUGAAGAGGAUGUCUGGAACCAUCCCAUUCUCUGUGAACGGCAUAUCCUCAACUGGCCAGAGCUGGCUCAGGAUACCUUUCUGUCCGUGACGGCUGGCAAAUUUGUCUCCAAUAGUUGGAUUUCGGGGAACCCUCACAGUGAUGCAAGCCUUCUUGAAUUUCCCAGUGCCACGGUCAUUACUGCAUAACCUGACAUUGUCUACAAUGCCAACUUCCUUAUUCCUGUUUAGGCAGAAAAACAAUCACAGCAAAGGUGUCAGGCACGUCAAUGAUUUUUAGCUAGGAAAGGAAAAUUAAGCAAAAAACCUUAACCACUUCAUAGUUCUUAUAAAAUGCCUUGGGACAGCUGGGAAACACGACCAUUUUUCAAAGUACUAUGCAGUGGCAAAGGUAAUCAGACUGCGUAAGAAUUAGGGCAAGAAAGCAAUAUAAGGGCAUCUCACAAAUGCCAUUCAGCUACCACUUCCAGGUCAGCAGGUCACAUGCCACCCAUGAUUUGAAAUAAAGAUCAUUUAAACCUG